rnacentral:rRNA from 1 species
CCUACGGGCGGCAGCAGUGGGGAAUAUUGGACAAUGGGCGAAAGCCUGAUCCAGCCAUGCCGCGUGUGUGAAGAAGGCCUUCGGGUUGUAAAGCACUUUCAGUGGGGAAGAAAGCCUUGGGGCUAAUACCCUCGAGGAAGGACAUCACCCACAGAAGAAGCACCGGCUAACUCCGUGCCAGCAGCCGCGGUAAUACGGAGGGUGUGAGCGUUAAUCGGAAUUACUGGGCGUAAAGCGCGCGUAGGCGGUCUGAUAAGCCGGUUGUGAAAGCCCCGGGCUCAACCUGGGAACGGCAUCCGGAACUGUCAGGCUAGAGUGAAGGAGAGGAAGGUAGAAUUCCCGGUGUAGCGGUGAAAUGCGUAGAGAUCGGGAGGAAUACCAGUGGCGAAGGCGGCCUUCUGGACUGACACUGACGCUGAGGUGCGAAAGCGUGGGUAGCAAACAGGAUUAGAUACCCCAGUAGUC